GAUGAACGCUGGCGGCGUGCUUAACACAUGCAAGUCGAACGGAAAGGCCCAAGCUUGCUUGGGUACUCGAGUGGCGAACGGGUGAGUAACACGUGGGUGAUCUGCCCUGCACUUCGGGAUAAGCCUGGGAAACUGGGUCUAAUACCGGAUAGGACCACAUUUUGGAUGGUGUGGUGGAAAGUUUUUCGGUGUGGGAUGAGCUCGCGGCCUAUCAGCUUGUUGGUGGGGUAAUGGCCUACCAAGGCGUCGACGGGUAGCCGGCCUGAGAGGGUGUACGGCCACAUUGGGACUGAGAUACGGCCCAGACUCCUACGGGAGGCAGCAGUGGGGAAUAUUGCACAAUGGGCGCAAGCCUGAUGCAGCGACGCCGCGUUGGGGAUGACGGCCUUCGGGUUGUAAACUCCUUUCGCUAGGGACGAAGCGUUUUUGUGACGGUACCUGGAGAAGAAGCACCGGCUAACUACGUG
rnacentral:rRNA from 1 species